CAAAAAAAAAUUUGCCUAAAUUGUGUUUUUAUUUUGUUUAUUCUUUUUUUUUUCAGAUAAAGCCUUUGUUGAUCAGUCCAGGAGACAGAUUAAAUGAAACAGGACAGGAUCCUAAAUGGUUUGUUGAGUUGUAUUUGGGGUUGAUCUAUCCUAUUUGAAGAGUUACUGAGUAAGUCUCCAAAGUUCUUUGUUUCUACUUCUUUUCUCUAUCUUGUUUGUUGUUUGUUUUCCUCUAUUAUCAUUUGCUAUUUUAAUGCAUAGGGAAUUUGGGGCUGAAAGCUCAUAAAAG
rnacentral:lncRNA from 1 species